GACGAACGCUGGCGGCGUGCUUAACACAUGCAAGUCGAACGGACAGGCCCUGCUUUUGUGGGGUGCUCGAGUGGCGAACGGGGGAGUAAAACGUGAGUAACCUGCCCUUGACUUUGGGAGAAAUUCAGGAAACUGGGGCUAAUACCGGGUAGGAGCUCUUGCUGCAUGGGGGGGGUUGGUAAGUUUCGGCGGUUGUGGAUGGACUCGCGGCUUAUCAGCUUGUUGGUGGGGUAGUGGCUUACCAAGGCUUUGACGGGUAGCCGGCCUGGGAGGGUGACCGGCGACAUUGGGACUGAGAUACGGACCAGACUGCUACGGGCGGCAGCAGUGGGGAAUAUUGCACAAUGGGCGGAAGCCUGAUGCAGCGACGCCGCGUGCGGGAUGACGGCCUUCGGGUUGUAAACCGCUUUCGCCUGUGACGAAGCGUGAGUGACGGUAAUGGGUAAAGAAGCACCGGCUAACUACGUG
rnacentral:rRNA from 1 species